AGUGAACGCUGGCGGUAGGCCUAACACAUGCAAGUCGAACGGCAGCACAGUAAGAGCUUGCUCUUACGGGUGGCGAGUGGCGGACGGGUGAGGAAUACAUCGGAAUCUACUUUUUCGUGGGGGAUAACGUAGGGAAACUUACGCUAAUACCGCAUACGACCUACGGGUGAAAGCAGGGGAUCUUCGGACCUUGCGCGAUUGAAUGAGCCGAUGUCGGAUUAGCUAGUUGGCGGGGUAAAGGCCCACCAAGGCGACGAUCCGUAGCUGGUCUGAGAGGAUGAUCAGACACACUGGAACUGAGACACGGUCCAGACUACUACGGGAGGCAGCAGUGGGGAAUAUUGGACAAUGGGCGAAAGCCUGAUCCAGCCAUACCGCGUGGGUGAAGAAGGCCUUCGGGUUGUAAAGCCCUUUUGUUGGGAAAGAAAAGCAGCAGGUUAAUACCCCGCUGUUCUGACGGUACCCAAAGAAUAAGCACCGGCUAACUUCGUG
rnacentral:rRNA from 1 species